rnacentral:rRNA from 1 species
CUGGCGGCACGCCUAACACAUGCAAGUCGAACGGAGUUAUGGGAGGCUUGCUCCUAUAAACUUAGUGGCGGACGGGUGAGUAACACGUGAGCAACCUGCCUUCAGAGAGGGAUAGCUUCUGGAAACGGAUGGUAAUACCUCAUAACAUACAGAAACGGCAUCGUUUCUAUAUCAAAGAUUUAUCGCUGAAAGAUGGGCUCGCGUCUGAUUAGCUGGUUGGUGAGGUAACGGCUCACCAAGGCAACGAUCAGUAGCCGGACUGAGAGGUUGAACGGCCACAUUGGGACUGAGACACGGCCCAGACUCCUACGGGAGGCAGCAGUGGGGAAUAUUGCACAAUGGGCGCAAGCCUGAUGCAGCGAUGCCGCGUGAGGGAAGAAGGUUUUCGGAUUGUAAACCUCUGUCAUCGGGGACGAAAAUGACGGUACCCGAGAAGGAAGCUCCGGCUAACUACGUGCCAGCAGCGGC